rnacentral:rRNA from 1 species
GACGAACGCUGGCGGCGUGCUUAACACAUGCAAGUCGAACGGAAAGGCCCUGCUUUUGUGGGGUGCUCGAGUGGCGAACGGGUGAGUAACACGUGAGUAACCUGCCCUUGACUUUGGGAUAACUUCAGGAAACUGGGGCUACUACCGGAUCGGAGCUCCUGCUGCAUGGUGGGGGUUGGAAAGUUUCGGCGGUUGGGGAUGGACUCGCGGCUUAUCAGCUUGUUGGUGGGUUAGUUGCUUACCAAGGCUUUGACGGGUAGCCGGCCUGAGAGGGUGACCGGCCACAUUGGGACUGAGAUACGGCCCAGACUCCUACGGGAGGCAGCAGUGGGGAAUAUUGCACAAUGGGCGGAAGCCUGAUGCAGCAACGCCGCGUGCGGGAUGACGGCCUUCGGGUUGUAAACCGCUUUCGCCUGUGACGAAGCGUGAGUGACGGUAAUGGGUAAAGAAGCACCGGCUAACUACGUG